UCCAACGAUAUACACUGAGCACUAUAGGCUCAACACAUGGGUCGCUCUCGAUUGGUCAGAGGAAGGGGAAGCCCCUCCCCUCGUUGUUGUAGGCAAUAUUUACAUGUUGAGCCACAAAGUACAGUAAUGAAGACAGGCGACGCGAGCUAUCAUUCACCGUUUAAAGUGGUGCUUUAAGAGAUAUAAUGACCUCGUUCUUCAACUGUUACCCAGGUGGGAACUUUAUGACUUUCACGGCCAAGCACUGUCAGGAUCAGAGAAAGACUGCGGCCCGUCUUACCCCGGAGGCACCCGACUGACGAGAAGCAUUCUGGAUCAUCAUGUCAACACCCGAUUAACCUCGGACAAGGUUCUUUUCAAGUAACAGGCAUGCCGCACUAAUUUCACCAAACAACUCCCUGAACUGGAGAAGGAGUUUCAGUCCCACAAGUACCUGGGCGAAUCUAGAAGAUAUCUCGCUGUGCACCCGAGCGAGACUCAUCUGGUUCCAGAACAGGUCCAUGAAGCAGACGAAUAGAGAGAGAAGGAAGGCCUGCUCCAUCACACUGCUCUCGCUGUCACGAUUCUAGAACUAAAUCAAACCAUCAGUGACAGUUCAUCCGAACCUCAUGGUGUGGAUUUUACUGUCUGAAUGCCCUUAUAGAUUUGCUUAAUGUAAAAAAAAAAAAAAAAAAA